CCACCCCCCACACACACACACCCACUAACCACCCCCCACCCCUUAACAGCCAUGCACUGCAUUAAACCUUUGCAAACACACACACACACACACACACACACACACACACAUACUCACACAUACUCAUAUACACAAACACACACAAACAUACAAAUAUACUCACACACACACACACACACAAGCUCACAGCUUCAUUUGUUAGAGGCAUCAGUGGUUUUCAAAGCAAAACUGAUGUUGAGUCACUGUGAGGUACCUAUAGUGUGUCACUGUGAGGUAACUAUAGUGUGUUGAUGUGAGGUACCUGUAGUGUGUUGUUGUGAGGUACCUGUAGUGUGUUGAUGUGAGGUACCUGUAGUGUGUUGAUGUGAGGUACCUGUAGUGUGUUGAUGUGAGGUACCUGUAGUGUGUUGAUGUGAGGUAACUAGAGUGUGUUGAUGUGAGGUACCUGUAGUGUGUUGUUGUGAGGUACCUGUAGUGUGUUGUUGUGAGGUACCUGUAGUGUGUUGCUGUGAGGUAACUAUAGUGUGUUGCUGUGAGGUACCUAUAGUGUGUUGCUGUGAGGUACCUGUAGUGUGUUGUUGUGAGGUACCUGUAGUGUGUUGUUGAUGUGAGGUAACUAAAGUGUGUGUGUGACCUCUGAGGCAUCCUGUAGUUUCCAGUGGCGGUUGUUAAAAAUAUUUCUGGAGCCUUGAGCAUUGACACCUGUUCCCCCUUUCGCCCCCCCCCCCCCCCCCCCCCCCUCUCUACAUAUGCUCACUCCAGAUUUAGGAGCAGCAGGAUCACGGAUUUCAAGAAAGGAUUUUGAAAGUGUCUGACGGUGAAACAACAUGUACAUAUUCCUAUAUGGAUCAAGCAGAAGGCAUGUGUGUGUGUGUGUCUGUGUGUGAGCGUCUGGUGAUCAGGAACAUCAGGAAAUCUUGCAGCCCUUUUUUUCAGGGAUAACGAAAAGCGCGCUAAAGGAGCCUAUAUCCCUCUCCAAAAUGCCUUGACUCAUAGGUAGUAGCCUCCUGUCCCACACACACAGACGGUGGACACAAAGGAACAGCACCCUAUUCGAUUUCUAUUUGUCUAUUUGCUUCUGUUUAUUUGGCCUCCAUUGCUGUGUCCUCCAGCUCAUAACUCAGGACUCUUUUGUCCUCUCGCUGCUCCUGGGAUUAUUAUUUGAAAGCUUGGGGGGGGGGGAAGGGGGGGCGGGCAAAGUCAACUUGUGAAUGUUUGUUAAUGUAAUUAUUAAAGGUUUUAACCCUAGUGUAUCUUUAUUUUUGUUUGUUUAUUAUGUUUGGCUUGGAAAGAGAACUAUAGAAUAAGUUAUCAACUUGAUUAAAUUCAAUGCUGGCUGGAAGGCCGGGUAAGAAGUGCUCAAGUUUUUUGUGUCCCUGUCAUUUCUGUGAUGCCCCUGUGUGUGUGUGUGUGUGUGUGUGUGUGUGUGUGUGUGUGUGUGUGUGUGUGUGUGUGUGUGUGUGUGUGUGUGUGUGUGUGUGUGUGUGUGUGCGUGUGUGUUAGUGCGUCAUUAAGGAGACGUUAGAGACGCUAUUAAAGGCAGGGUGUAAGGGAGGUCACACACACUCCGAAAUUCCUGCGCCCUGGCCCACGGACACACACACCGAGGCAACGCACUCGGCCAGUAGAAUGCUGGGAACUCUUUGUCGCCAUGCUCUCGUGUCACGAGCACGCCUUCCAGGAGAGCCAGGCAUAGUGACACAUGCUCGUCAUGACGACAGAUAUGGAGAGGCAUUACUCGCACUCACACCAAAC
ensembl:lncRNA